rnacentral:rRNA from 1 species
GGAGUGGACGCAUCACUGGUGUUCGGGUUGUCAUGCCAAUGGCACUGCCCGGUAGCUAAAUGCGGAAGAGAUAAGUGCUGAAAGCAUCUAAGCACGAAACUUGCCCCGAGAUGAGUUCUCCCUGAGACUUUAAGUCUCCUGAAGGAACGUUGAAGACGACGACGUUGAUAGGCCGGGUGUGUAAGCGCAGCGAUGCGUUGAGCUAACCGGUACUAAUGAACCGUGAGGCUUAACCUU